GUCAGCAAUGAGGAGGGUGAGGAAUAUGCCAGAGAAAGUGGCUUGUCUUUUCUUGAAACUUCAGCAAAAACAGCACAAAAUGUGAACGAACUCUUCUAUGAAAUAGCUAAGAGAUUGGUAAAAGCUAACCCUUCACGUCAAAGUGGAAUCAAGCUGCAUGGCAGACCUACAGAAAGUAGAAGAAGAUACUUUUGCUGUGCUUAAUGGCAUGUUCUUGUCCUCUGGGAAGUAUCGUUAUUUAUAAUGUCAUGUCUAAUUGUACUUAAAUAUAUACACUGUGUCCAUUGUUGAUGUCAACGUAAUUGCUCAAACAAGAAGAACAAAGACAUGUUCAGUGUACAUUGUAAGAUCCAAAGUUGUCCAUUGCUUGGAAAAAGAUCGCUUUCAUUCAGCAUCAUGAGAACUUUUAGAUGGUUUUCAUUUGGCUUUUCACAUGUGAAAAUCAUAAUUUGUCACCUUCAAAAGUAAUUGUUUUUUCAAUUAUUUUGACCUUUUAGAGUUAAUACAUUGUUCUAUACCUUAUGGUAUUUUGUCUGUAUCUCAUUUUGACCUGACCAAAAGAUGAAAAGAAAAGAACUUGUCUCUGUUGCAUCCAAAUGUAAUGACAUCAUUGUGUCCAAUACUUUCUCUUUGACUUUUUGAUUUAUCAUACUUUGCCUGUGCAGUAUGAAACCUUGAUCAA